rnacentral:rRNA from 1 species
AUGAGUCUUGCUUGUCUCGUAUGCCAUGGCAUGAACAGCCCCUCACACUCUCUUAGAAGCUACUCGGUGUCGAGUUCAGAGGAGGACAACCGAUGUGGAGCUGUUGUUUCCUGCUUAACUCGGAGAGUAACGCCGGCUGGAUCUGCUAGUGUUGGGACAUCAAAGGUGACCCCCUUUCCAUCCAUAGCGGCUGGUCAAGGCACCGAGGGCACUCCUCGCCUUCAACGAAGCCGUGCUGUGUCCAGGGACCUUGUCAGAGACUGGAACUUUGAUGAAGCCGUAGUUGCAAACUAG